ACAGGUGACUGAUGCCCGGUGAGAAAGUGAGCCUGACAUAUAACCCCAUCAGCUGCAAUAAAGGAACCACGAGACAGGUGACUGAUGCCGAGUGAGAUGGUAUACCUGACAUAUACCCCCGUCAGCUGCAAUAAAGGAUCCACGAGACAGGUGACUGAUGCCGAGUGAGAAGGUAUCCCUGACACAUACCAAGUUAGCUGCAAUAAAGGAACCACGAGACAGGUGACUGAUGCCGAGUGAGAAGGUAUACUUGACACAUACCCCCUUCAGCUGCAAUAAAGGAACCACGAGACAGGUUCGUGGUUGCAAAUACAGCCCUGUGUAUCAGAAAUGUGACAGACCCUAUUAACCCCUUCAUGACCCAGCCCAUUUUCACCUUCAGGACCUGGGCAUUUUUUGAAAAUCUGACCACUGUCACUUUAAACAUUAAUAACUUUGGAAUGCUUUUACUUAUCAUUCUGAUUCCGAGAUUGUUUUUUCGUGACAUAUUCUACUUUAUAUUAUUGGUAAAAUUUCACUGAUAUUUGCAUCCUUUCUUGGUAAAAAAUCUAAAAACUUCAUGAAAAUUUUGAAAAUUUAGCAUUUUUCUAACUUUGAAAGUCUCUGCUUGAAAGGAAAAUGGAUAUUCCAAAUAAAUUACAUAUUGAUUCACAUAUACAAUAUGUCUACUUUGUGUUUGCAUAAAAAAAAUUGACAAGUUUUUACUUUUGGAAGACACCAGAGGGCUUCAAAGUUCUGCAGCAAUUUUCCAAUUUUUCUCAAGAUUUUCAAAAUCGUAAUUUUUCAGGGCCCAGUUCAGGUUGGAAGUGGAUUUUAAGGGUCUUUAUAUUAGAAAUACCCCAUAAAUGACCCCAUUAUAAAAACUGCACCCCCCAAAGUAUUCAAAAUGACAUUCAGUAAGUGUUUUAACCCUUUAGGUGUUUCACAGGAAUAGCAGCAAAGUGAAGGAGAAAAUUCUAUAUCUUCAUUUUUUACACUCGCAUGUUCUUGUAGACCCAAUUUUUGAAUUUUUACAAGGGGUAAAAGGAGAGAAAUCACCCUAAAAUUUGUAACCCAAUUUCUCUCGAGUAAGGAAAUACCUCAUAUGCGUAUGUAAAGUGUUCGGCGGGCGC